rnacentral:lncRNA from 13 species
AAAUAACGAGGCGAUGGCAAGGUAAACCGUUGUAAGCAGCCUCAAUCUUCAACGGCGCUUCUAGUUUUCCUGAGAGUCGAUCGGCUAAAAGAUCUGCCACGACGAUAAGAUACUUCAAGCGCAGCGAUUCUUUGUUCCAAAUCAGCAAAAUCAGAUUGUUUAGGUAGAUUGCGUAUUAACUUCCGCGACUUGAAAACCAGUAUCACGUUCAACUAUUUUAUCCGCGAGUUCCGAGAGCUUGACUAAAGGCGGAUUUUCAACAAUCUCCGAAAUCGCGACUAACGCUUGUUCAUCAAGAUGACGAAUAACUGAACUAUAUUUAAUAUCUUCAGAACGGAUACGGUAUACAGUAAAUUCACUCUCAAUCUGAGCAAACCACAGCUUAGGUUGUUUAUGCCAAAAGAUUGGAAGUUUCAAAAGGCGAAAUUCAUUUGAAUGGAUCUGAGUGGACUCACCCGAUGACUGAUGUUCAAAACCAGAAGAUAAAUUUAAAAUCUCUGUUCCGACCUG